GUUGAAAAUGAUAAAACCAUAAGAUAAAAGAGCUUUUAUUCAAAAUGCAAAAAUCAACAAAAUAUUCAUUAUCACUCAACUUAGCAUAAUUAAACAUUUAGGUGAGGAAACAAAUCACAAUUUGAGUAGCUAAACACAUUGCUUGAAAAUGUGAUAAGUAAGAAAAUUGCCCACAUUUGAGUAGCGACAUGUGGUGAUGCAUUUCCCAACGAGAGAAAACUAAGCUCUUCACCAGUAUGGAUUUAUGUAGAGGACAACAAAAAUUGUCAACAACACAACUACAUAAGAAACCAAAAAGCUCACAAAAAAAUCAUAAGUACCUAUCAAACCAUCUUCUCCUUUAUCUUCUGAUACAGUUGAUAUCGUUGAUGGUGAAUCAGUUUUGGAACAACUUUUAUGCAAUAUAUCUCCACAAAGAAAAGGAUUUCCCUCAUAACUGUUUUCAAUAAAGGUCCCAAAUUGAGCUUUUGGUUUGGGAAUACUACCUGACAAGUUGUUGUAUGCCACGCUGAAAACCUCCAAAGAGUUCAACUCUACCAAUUGAUAGGGGAUUUCACCACUCAAGUUGUUGUAAGAAAGGUCCAAACUCUCAAUGUGCUGAAGUUUUGAGAAUGAUGAGGGUAUAACUCCGGUCAACUUAUUGUGUGACAAGUUUAAAGAAUGGAUUUCACUCAAGUUCCCUAAUUCUGGUGGGAUAUGACUAGUUAAGUUGUUGCAAGAUAAAUCAAUCCCAGUCAUAUAUGAAAGGAUGUCGCCAUUGUACGAAUAGAACCCACUCUUUGUUGUGAACUCUAUUACUUCUUCUAAGUAGCUUAGAGGAUAGUAAGAAUCCAUUUCCAGGUUUCCUAUCAUAAUGCGUGUUGAUUCAUCCUCUUCUAUAGAUGGCCCAUAGAACCCAGUUUCUAGAAUCCUCUUCAUUUGUAUUGGAAGAGAUAAAUUUCCCAAACAAGAAGGUAUAGGACCAGAAAACAUAUUUUGAGAAAGAUCUAUGAUGCUUAAAGAAUGCAACUUGCAUAACUCAAUAGGAACUUUACCAUGAAAAUGAUUAUCUUUCAGGAGAAGAACACUCAAAGAAGAAAGCGUGUAAAUCCAUUUUGGAAUACUACCUGUCAAAUUGUUUCCUCUAAGAUCUAAAGUCACUAUUGAAGAGUUAUUAUAAAAAGCAAGUGAUAGUGUGCCUCUCAGUCUAUUCCCGUGGAGGUGGACAUGCUCUAUGUUGGUGGAUUAAAACAUGACGGUAUAGAGCCAGAUAAAUUAUUUUGAGAAAGAUCCAAAAAUUCCAACCUAUUCAACUUUCAAAAUUCCAUUGGAAUAGAACCUUCAAAACCAUUGUUGGACAAAUUUAAUCUCCACAAAAAUGAUGCAUUCCCUAUCCAUCUUGGGAGCUUUCCAUGCAACUUGUUACUGAGAUCAAUUUCGCUUAGUGAAUUUGGAAACUCAAAAAGAAAUGUUCACACAAAGUUUUUUCCAACAUAUGUCUGUCAUUUGUGGGGUCUUGAAUUUAAUAUCAAUGGUUGAAUUUUCAUAGCUAAUAUGUACGCAAAAGGCUUAGUGGGUGGAAUUUUAUGUCUGGAAAGCGUUUCUACAAUGACAUAAUUAAUUGCAUUACUUUUCAAAGAUUGACUAUUGACUUUGGUGAGCUUAUUAGGUUAAAUUCUGCUGCUGGUCACUGUUCUUUGUAAAAGUUGUAAAUUUAGUCUAUUUUCUUCAAUUUGAUCAAUUUUAAUCCCUAUACAUUUUGAAUUUUAAAAUUUUAGUUGUGACCCAAACAAUAGAGUUAAAUCAAUUUAAUUAAAACCAAUUACUAGUCCUAUAUUAUGCGUACAAUUGUUGAUUUAGUCCAUACUCUUCAAUUGGAUCAUUCUAAGUACCUAUAUUUUUCAAAUUUUAAAAUUUCAGUCUUGAUGCAAAUGACAAUCCUUAGUCUGUUAACUAGAUUUUUAGUAACAUAUGAAAAUAAUAAGAUGAUAUGACAUUACAAAUAUGAUAAUAUUUUUGCAUUAAAUAUGUCAACAAUGACAUAAUUAAUUGCAUUAACUUUCAGACGUUGACCAUUGACUUUUGCGUCAACCUUAAGCUUAUAUAGCCCCUACAAUAAUUUAUAGCCCCUACAAUAAUUUAGGUUAUGGAAAUAAUCUUACAAUUAAUGCCUGAGAAAUUAUUAUAGAUCAAUUUAUAGUUUUAAUCCCUAUAAUUACUCAAUUGAAUUAAGAUUCAGUUUUUCUUAUUUAAUUUGAUAUAUUUUGUUUUCUUAUUAAUGUUAAUGUUAUGGAUUAGUUUUUUUUAAGACAACUUCAUUAUUUUAUUCAAUGAAUAAUACCAUACAAUUCGGGGGAAAAUAACAAGCAAUCGUUGUACUCCUUAAAGGACAAGCUCCAUAAAUACAACAAAAGCUUUAGCUUCAACAUUAAUACAACAUUAUGGCAUGUUGAAAUCGGCUCCGUCACAACUCAAGCACAACAUAUCAGGAGUGAUUACAAGCACUUAAUAUAGUAAGAAAAUCAACCCUGGAUGGUCCAAAGCGGAGGGCAUAAAUCGGCAAAAGAACUGAGCAUCCACCAAACUAGAGGGGAUGUGGCGACAAAACCAACCCUAAAAUUACUAGCAAAAGCAAGACUAAAAAGCGUACUACAAGAGUAGACAAAAACUUCUAAAAGUUAAACAAUGGAAAAAUAAACAAAAAAAAUACAAAACUUAAGAUAACAUGAGUCUAAAACGAGUCAUGAAAUCAUUUAUUAUUUUGAAACUCUCAAAACAUAAACAAAUUAAGAUAUCAACGAAGAGGUACCCACUUUCUAAAAGAAAGUGUUGGUCGUCGGUGGUGUUUCAAUGAUGAUAGGCAUUGUCACCUGUCCAUCACAACUUGUAAAGACAACAAAAAUACCCACAAAAUAAAUCUGUAAAUUGAAAAGAACGAAGACUCAUGGAGUGAAUGAGAAGAAGAAAAAUAAAAAGGGUUAAUAGGGAGGAGAAAAAGGAGGGCGGUAACUAAUCCUGAGGCUAACACCGCUGGUAGGCUAAAAAAAAAAAAAAAGCAAACAUGUUGUGGAUUAGUUAAAAUAACUAACAUCAUUGGAAAUUUCAUUAGUUGGCUGAUUUGGAUUUUUUAAAAAAAAAAUUGAAACUAGAAACCAUAAAUGAUCUAACAUUUAGAAACCAUAAAUUGGGUUUUUUUUCAAUUGCUUUGCUGUCCAACUCCAUCCAUCUAAAAUCGCAAGGAUGUACCCAUGUUCAAUAUGCAGUACAGAGUACAGACCCAAAAAUUGACCAUAUAAUGUGGCUGAAGAGAAUUUUCGAAUGGUUUUAAAGAAUUAUGAGAACACAAUGAAUAAAGUUAAGGCAUCAUUUAUUCAGCUUGCUAUAAUGCAGGUCAUUCCAAUAAAGAAGCAUUUUUUAACUACAUUUUCCGUUACCCCAAUAACAAUGAAAUCCCUUAUUAUAGCACAGUAUGUUCUCCGAUGAACAUAGAACUCACCAUUUUUAGGAACACGUGUAGUUGAGGAUGAGAAUUCGGAUCAACUGUAACUUCAAAUAGUGGAAUGAAAACAUUGUCCAGAAUAUUCUGAAAAGAUUUUACAAUUCCCAUUUGCUUGUACACAUUAUACAAUCGUGGUGACUGCAGAAUUAAGUCAAAAUCAAGUGAAGAAGGUUACCUUUGACUUGAGAAAUAUAUCACAGAGAGAGAGAGAGAGAGAGAAAACAGUAAUCUGGAAAGAUGAUGCUUAAUAUGGACAUGAUACCCUAAAAACCGAUCUUAAAUUUUAAUUUCUAAAAUGUUAUUAGCUUGUGCAUACUUUCAAAUACUUUUCAUUAGAGUUACCAUAGACUAAUUUUUCCAAUUUUAGAUGAUUCAAGAAACUACUUGGGGGCAAUUCUUAAAUAAACAUGUCCGAACAGUAGUCAUUAACAAGAAAGCAUCCAAGAAAACCAGCAGUUAAUACUUAAAUAAACAUUAUCAAAUGGAGAUGUAAAGAAGAAAGAAUCCUACUGCAAAGCUAGAUAGCAGGAGAAUCACUAGAAUGAAGAGAAAUACUAUUGGCACUAUACCUGGAUUAACCAAACAGUAGUCUCACUAUAAAUUUCAUUGUUAAUAAACCAACUUGCCAACUGGUCCCAUUCACUUUGUUUCCUUCCGUAUAUGGACACCCUGUACUCUGCCAUCUUGAAAAUAUAUAUAUUAUUCAGUGUAGUCAGAGGCGCAAGGAGCACUCUAGGUGCUAGAAUCCUUUUAUUAUAUAAGGCACAUGGCGCACAAAAAAAAAAAAAAAAAACACUUGCUUGUGUUAAGGCACAUGUAUGCGUGUUUUGGUAUGUCCAUGUCUGUAUAUAUAUAAGCCGAAGAUAUAUAAUUAUAAUAAUAAACUAUAAAAGUGCUCCAGUUUGAAGUACAGAACAUGCCAAAUUUUCUUUCUUUUGUCAACCAUAUGCAUAUUUCCAUAUGAUCCCAUGCCUGGUGUUGAAUACUCAAAUAUUGAGAAGUAGAGAGUUCGAUAUUAUCCCUUUGUUACAAUUAAGAAACAAUUAAAGAGAUAGUAAAGAGAACUUCAAUUAGAAGGCCUUUUCCCCCUACAUGCACCAGGCAGGCGCUUAGCCUGAAAAGGUCAAAGGCCCUUUUACUGUCUGGUGAAAAGGCAAAAAACAUUGGACAAAGUUGGUGGGAGGAUGGAAUACUAAAAAGAGCCCAAUGUUGUCACUUUUCUAAAGUAAGCUCAUAUGCUUUUUUUGUACCCAAACAAUAUCUCACCCUUUAAUUUGUACCUAAAGAAAUUAUUUCUAAUAGAAAGUUUACUUUUGUUAUGAUCAAUGCUGGAGGCCAAAACUGAUUUGGGCUAAGGAAUUGGUGGUGAGAGUUGGGAGGCAAGAAGAAAGAAAGUCCUUGAGUGUUAUAUUUUUCAAAAAAUACAAAUUGUUCAUUUUUUUACCACAUCAUCAUGCCAGGUCAGCUUCCAUGUGGAUAAAGAAAAUUUUGGCGGCAUUGAAACAGAGGCUCACUUAGGAAAAAGAAGGAUACUUCAUGGGCUUUUAGUAAUUUAGCCCUUGGAAGGAAUAUGACCAUCCAAAAAAAGGCAGUUGAUGCUUUAAGGUCAAUUAGCCGAAACAAUAACAACAAUUCCUAGGCUUCAAUAAAAUAAUUUAGACAACAAAUAAAGCUUUAAGGUUGAGUUUUGCACUGCAGCAGCAUUGGGUUUUACAAGGUGAAAACCCACAUUGCAAAAAAAAUAUCAAAGUUUCAGAUCAAUCAUAAUUUAAAAUUCUAACUAAACCAAACGCCAAUGCUGAAUGCCUAAACAAAAAACAUAAGAUUAACCCAAGGACCUAAUUGGGUAUGCUAAAAUUUGUCUUGGAAUGAAAUUAAUAAUAUCCUUACUAUUUCACUUUUUUUCUCUUCAUAUGUUUGGUGUGAGCAUGAUACAGAUUAGACUGAUUUUAAAGUAAAAGUAAAACGAUACCAAACCUAAACAUUCUGGUUUUUUUUAAUUUUUUAUCAGAGCCCUGUUUGAUGCAUUUUUAGUUUUGUUUUCUAAUAACAAAUGGAAAGUUAAUUAAAAAAAAAAAACUCUAAUCCAAUGAGUUCUUUUAUAGAUACAAGAUAAGUCCUGCAAAGUUUUUGUUUUUUAGAAAUAAAAUUUUAUUUUUGUUUUUUAAUUGAUCUUCAUACCUAUUUUAAUAUCUAAGUUCCGGAUUCCUAACUGCCCUAUCAAUAAUAUAGUAUUCAAGAUUUGAACUUAUAUUUUUCUUUAAAAAUAUAAUGUAUUUUAUUAUUGUAUUCUACAUUCAUUAAUACUUAGUAGAAAUAACCUAAUAAAUUGAAUUUUUUUCAUAUAUUAAUAGAGAUAAGUUCGUGCAAAAUUGUUGGUUGAAAAUUCAUGAAUGUACCAUCAUCAUAAGUGAGCUCAAUGAUGCUCUGUCAUCUCAAUAUGAAGCCUCCUAUCAAUCACCAGUCUGCAGAAAACAUUUGAAAUCGAAACACCCCGGACAUCUCCGACAAAUCUGCCAUAACAUUAGCAUCUCUUCCAUUUUUCUAAACACAACCUCACGAAUGGAAAUCUUAAGCUCAUCAACGCUCGCAUAAAUGUACCAAUAUUUCCACGGCCUAGAUUUCUCAUUGAUACACCAAGAAAGCUUGACUAUGGAGUCGGAUUCAACCAUAAGCUUUCAGUCUAUAAUCCACUAGGAAUCCAAAAAAAUUUUAAAUGUUAUAUUAUUAUAUAAAAAAUUGAAACAUGACUUCCGUAGGUUUUAAAUCUAAUGUUGACACUAAUCUUGAAUAAGUCAUUCCCCUCCCAUCUUAACUAAUUGCCAAAGAGCUAUCAAAAGUGGGAGAUGGCCAUAAAAUUGUGUAGUUUGGGUUAUAAAAUUUUUGUUUAGUUAUUUUGAUCACUCCAGUUAAAAUAAAAAAUUGUAAACUGACGCAACAGUUAAAAAAAUGUAUAAUAACAAAUUUAACCCUCAAAUUUUAUAUAUUAUAUCAAUUACAUAUUACAACUACAUAUUUUAUAAUUAUUGAUAUCGAAUAUGUCCCUCACUACGCUGGGGAUUUUUAUUUUAUUUUUUUAUAAUUUGUUUUUAAUUAAUAUUUAAAAUUAAUUUCAAAAUAUUUGAAAAUUUUAUAAUUAUUUGGUGUUAGUCCCUUCAUUAUACUCAAAUUUAAGAUUAAGCCCCUAUACUUUAAUUUUGACAUAAUUUGGUUCUUUCACUUUUAUAAUCUCAUUAAUUAUUUCAAGUAACUAACACUUUUAACAAUGCCAAAUAAAAUAAUGUCAUAUUUUUUUCUUAAAGCCAUCACUUCUAACUAAAUAAUGACUUAAUCACUUUCUAAUUAAUCAUACUAACGUAGAAUUUUUUUUUUUCGUUGGAAUGAGUAUGUUUAAAGAAAACCCACCUCAACAUUUGUAGAUGUCUUCAACAAUUUCCUAAGCACGAUACAAUAAAGCUUGGUGAUCGUAUAAUUUUGUUUUAUGGAAGCUCCAAAUUAUGUUGAUUCUUGAAUGAUACGGUCUGCAUGGGUUUGUUUUGGGUGCUAUUAGUGUACUAGCACAGUUUGUAGUGGAUAAAUAUGGGAGAUUAGUAGAAAAUUCUGAUUAUGUUUUACAUGUGCAACAAGAUAAGCUAUUGGCUUCUUGGUUACUUUCAACUGUUAGUGAUGAAAUUCUAGCCUAUCUUACUAGUGCUCGUACUAGUUAUUAUAUGUGGGAAAUUACUGGUGCCUGCACCUACAUUACUUACUAGGUUGGGCGGUAUAGUGCAAAGGAAAUAGAUUUCUGGUGUCUGCACCUAAAUUACUUACUAGGUUGGGCGGUAUAGGUUGUGAAAUUGAUAAAGCCAAUAAUUUCAGUUUGAAAUAUAAUGAUUUCUGUUGGGUUGCUCAAAUGCUUUAGCAAGAACACGAGACAGAAAAAUUGUCAAUUAAGCUUUACUAGGAUGAAGGGCGACGAUAAUUGUGUUGGUGAACGGAACUUUUCCCUUACAAAAUCUUAAAUAUUCAAUCUGCGUAUUCUUUUUAGUCCCAAAAAUAACAAUGUCAAUUCGCAUCAGUUCCCUUAUGCUUCAUUUAGUUUCAUUUUUCUCUUCUACUGUAAGAAUAAGUGCAUUUUUUUUCCUUCUUAUGUCCUUAUUUUUGGAAAUUGAGAUUUUCGAUCUCUUUUCUACCGUCUCAAAAAGUUGACAUGGCAGUCACUGUUUAUUUGGCUGGAUGCCCGGGCUUUAAUGGGCUAAAGCCAAAGCUUAUUUCAAGAUUUGUUGCUGUUUGUACCUGAUGGAUUUAUUGUUUCAAUUCAUUUCUUUUUACUUUUCAGAUUUUUUUUUCCACUUUUCUGUUUUAUAGGGCUCUUAAACUGUUUCAUGUUGUCCAUUUAAAGGCGUUUAAGAAUUGCAUUUACAUUCUUCUAUGUUUAUUUUACUUUUACUAGAUAUUGCACGUUGAAUUGUUAAAGCCAUAUGACACUUCAAGGGGACCUGGUUAGUGGUAAUUUAGUUUUGUCUUCUGUGACCUAAUUAAUUGGCCCACUGAUUAAUGGGCGGGAACAUGCUGUGCAGGUAAAAAAUGAGUCUUUGAAUAAACUGAACGAGCUUGAGGAAAUGCGUGAGAGACUAGAGGCAAGGAAAGUAGUUAUGGCAAACAUGUCAACUCGUUGCAAAGUUGCAACAGAGGAUGCUAAAAAACAGGAGGAAAUGCUUAGUACUGAAGUAAGAUCAUUGUUGGUUGCUGGUACCUCUCUUUCUGUAGCAAGGAAGCGAUUACAGGUGAAGCUUUUAUAUUCUAGCUUAAAUUAGCUUUGGAAUUUCAUUUUGAUAUUAUCAUGAAUGCUGAAUUUAUGAUAUAUUUGAAGGUUUCUUCUUAUUCAGCUUUAGAUGUUAUUUAUUCUCCUCUUGGAUCAAUAAGACCUCUCUCUUUGCACCUCCACCCCCUGUGAAGGUGGUUGAGGGGCUUAGAUGAGAUGAUUCUCAUUCUAUGAAUUCCUUUGCAUAGUCAAGGGCUAUCCCCUUCUUGCUCUCCUACUUCUUUGUCUCUUUUUUUAGAUGGUUGGUAGUCUUGCAUGCAUGGCAUGAUUGAUUAUAUGUUGUUUUUAUCACAGGAAGCAAAUAGAUUACUCACUGAAGAAAGGGGUUGUGUUAACUUAAAAAUGUGCAAAAGAAGCUUCGAGCAAGGCAACAAUAUAUGAUAUCACAAGUUUCAUUACUGUAUCCUGUAAAGAUCUUGGUUGGACCUGCACAGAAGCAAGAACUUGAGUCCUACUCUAGCAGUAGUAGAUUAGGUAAUGUGCUAGUAGUUUUGGAUUGCUAAUGCUUUGCAAUAAAGCCAACAUAUGGUCAGUGUCGUCAAGGCAUGCGCCUAGGCAUGCCUACCCCUUAGUUUUAUACAACAAAACGCCUUGUACCCAUCCAGGUGAGGUCCAUUUGAUCAAGCGCAUGCCUGGUGCACCUAGGCACACUUUUUUUGUAAGGCAAUGGGCAUUAGAAAAAGCCUGCCUUGUUGAAUUUCUCAAUAAUUUAUUUUAUUUUUCACUGUUUUCAUUUGAUAUACCUUUACUAAUAAGAAAGGGAUAAUAUCAAACUCUAUAGUUCUCAAUAUUUGAGCAUUCACCUAUAAAAAAAUUGCAAGUUUUGUGGAUAAACCAGACCACACUUUAGAGUUUACUAUAUAUCUUAAACUUUUAUGUUAUAGACACACAGACUUGCAAAAACUCUCACAUAUACGUAUUGCGCUUUACUGCACUCUGGCUAGCGCUUCCUUUUGUGCCUUGCUCUCGAGGCAAUAUAAAGGUUAGCACCUAGAAUGCGCCUUGCGCCCUAGACAACACUGCAUAUGGUUUUAAUUAGCAGCCAGUCUCCUCGUUUUGAAAUCAAUAUGUCUUUCCUGUUUAGUUUGUAGUUUAUUUUUAUAUUCUUAAUUAACAUUUAUCCUCUCACUUAUAUCAUCGAGAACCCAUUGUGAUGCUUGUUAUAUUUCCUCCUACGUUUUCUUUUUUGUUCUUGAGAUUUUGGAUGUUCAAAAUGGUUUGAGGAAAACUUUACCAACAAUAGCAGCUUCUUUCUCUUGAACAAUUCCUUCUUGCAACACGGGGAAUAUCUAUAAAUGGCAUGCCUGGAUAUGCAUAUCCUUUGAUAUCAAAUAUGGUUGGUCCAAUAUGAUGUUUUACUAGGGGAGAAUAAAAUGAGUUAUUUUGGUCAACUGGACAAGUCUUUUAUGAUUCCUAAACAGCUUAAGGAGUACCAUUACCUAUCACUUGACUCUUCUUUUGGUUAUAAUGGUUGUAUUCAGUUAUUCCUCUUUUAGCAAUCUACUAUUCAAUUCUCCUCAUAUCAAAACAAUUUUUUUUUGCUCUUGAAUAUUAUGAACUUUUUACAUAUCUCUUACUUUCAUGAUUAUAUUUUUUUGAAUUUUGUUUUGACUUCCACAAAGAGGUGGUGUCUGGUGAUGUACUGAUACGAAGUUCCUUUGUUCCUGACUUCACUAGGGAAUCCUUCUGCAUCAAAGCCCGUCAAUCAAGGAUCGUUGACGAUUUUAGGUCUGAAUCUCACCUUGCUUCCUUUUACAAAGAUGAGUUUUUUCACUGACAAAAAGGAGGUUCAGAGAUCUGCAACUGCCUUGGGAUAUGUUGCACAUGUGCGUUCUAUUUCUUCUGUGAAGUUAUCAUUUAUUACUGAAUUUGUUUUUUCUGAUAAUAUCAAGCUGUGGAUAUCAAGUUUUUUGACCUACCACCUACAAUCCCUUGUUGCUUGAAGAUGCUGUAGUAAUUUUUAAAUGCUAGGAUGGUAAUAUGGUAUAGUGGGCUGCAUCUUGAUUGUUUAUUUCUCAUGCUGAGGCUAGAAUUUUAAUCAUACCUAUUAUUGUUUCUUGUUUCCUGCCAUUUCAUCAUUUGCAGGCUGUUUCACUAAUUGCAUCCCAUUUACAAGUUCCCUUGCGUUAUCCUCUGCGCUUGGGUUCAAGACACGACAAGAGCAGCAUAUGCUGUGUUCUUGUUAAACAAGGCAAGGUUUUGCAUAGUAGUAAUUCUUUUUCCAAGAUGAAUUAUUCUCCUUUGGCAUUUUUAUGUAUAUUAUUGGAUUCAAAUGGUCUGCAAAGUUAGCUUGUCAAUGCUCUUCAAUCCACAGGUUGGAAAAACAGUGCAUGUUUGUUCGACAGCAUUUACAGCUCAUUUUAUGUCAUUGAUAGUGGAUAAUCUUGCUUCCAUCAUCAUUAAUAUCAUGGUUGAAUUGUUUGGAAGAUAUUGGAUUUACAAUAUCCAGGUUCUUGUGAUAGACACUUGAGACUAUCUAUAAACUUCACCGGUAGAUUAGGUGAAGGAUUAUCAACAAAUUUGAAAAGUGUGUGAAUUCCCACCAUGCAUCUAAAAGGAGGUCCAGCACUCGAAUCUCAUUCCCCAUAACUAAAAACUAUGUCACUGUGACUUGGUCAUAUCUCCAUAUCCAUGUUCGAAUUCGGACAUGGGUAGUUAAAGAAAAAUGAAGAGUUGAUGCAUGAUAGACUAGUUCAAAAGUGCUUUUAGAAAAAAGUGCUGUUGAAAUGUGGUGCGGAAAAGUGUGUUUGUUAAUUUUUAGUGUUGUUCAUUGCUGUCAAAAGACGCGGUUGAAAGGUAAAAUGUCUUUUUUAGACAUGAUAGUAGAAAGUAAAAAAUUAGUCAAAUUAUAUGAUAUUUAAAUAAUUUAAUAUAAUGAUACAUGAAAUAUAACUUUUAAAUACCUUUUAAGUAAUUAAUAUAAAUUAUUUGUAAAAUUGAUUAUAUAUAAAAUAUUUUGAAAAAAAUUAAAUAUAAUAAUAAAUAAGAUUUAAACAAUUUAAUAUAAUAAAAUAUAAAAUAUAAAUUAAUCUAAUUUUUAUUUACCUUUUAAAUAGUUAAUGAAAAUAAGAGUAUUUUGACAAUUUUCACUUCCAAAUGACAAAAGCCAAAAGCAGUAGGUUUUUGACUACAAAAGCUAUGUGUUCUUCAUCACUUCUGGAGUGGAAAAACACUUCUGCAGUGUAAAAACACUUUUAAUAAUUCAAAAAGGCUUUUUCACCACAGUAGAGAAUGCACCAUAAAAUUGUAAAUAGAAAAAGGAAGGACCAAACAUUUUUUCUACCCUGUUUUUGUCUCCUCUUUGAAAAUACUUUCCAAAAAGUUUUAUCUUUUUUUUUUUUUCUGUUUACAAUGCCUUGAAUGCAAAUUCCUUAUAGAAGUGCUUUCUUUUGAUCCACUUGCAUCAUUGUAAGAAGUCUGCAUUGCCUUCUAACUUUCUUUGUUGAUUAUCUUUUAUUAAGUUUUCUGUUGGAUAUUAUAGUCAAAUUCCUUUACAUCAUGUAUGUUAAUUUGCUUAGCCCUGAUAAAUGUUAGUGUUGUGCGGAAGCGUGUAAAAGAGUAAAAUUAUUGUACUAAAAAAUCACACUAAGUUCAAUUCCCAGGAAAGAGAGGUGGAUCACAAAGAUCGCUUAAGUACCAGGUCUUUCCUAGCCAGAAUAUCCCUCAAUCGUAAUUUAAUAGCACAAUAAAUCACUACAAUCACACACACAAUUCAUGCAGAAUAAUACAAUAAAGAACACAAGAAUUUAACGAGGUUCAGCAAAUUUUGCCUACGUCCUCGGGCACUACCAAAUAUAUUUCACUCCAAAAUACAAGUGAGAAUUUACAAAGAGAGAGAGAGAAAACAAUGCCUUAAGUAGAGAAUGGCAAGUUUGAGAUACAGAAUGAGAGAUGGUCAUGCUUAUUUAUAAUUGAGGUUCAGGGAUCAACUUGCAAGGUCACUUUACAAUUAGGGACCAUAUAUUGCAAAUAUCUCAGAUUUUAUUAUGCCAAUAUCUCGAUACCCAUAUCUUUGACUUUCCAAUAUUUGAUACCCAUAUUUUUGACUUUCUAUUAUUUGAUACCCAUAUAUUUGAUUUUCCAUAAAUAUGGAUAAUUCCCAAUAAUCUCCACCUUAAAGAUUUGAUUCGAGUAAUCUUAUCUUCACACAAUUCUCUCUGCCUUUGUCAACAACACUUGAUAGUGCCUUCUUCAACUGUUAAACAUGCAGAAUAUUGAUCAAGUUCAAACAAUGUUCGAACUUGAUUGUUGUUACCACCUUGGUCAUCAUAUCUGCGGGAUUAUCUGCAGUCUUAAUCUUCUGAAGGUGAAUUUUCCCCUCAUCAAUAAUUUUCCGCACAAAAUGGAAACGUACGUCGAUAUGCUUUGAACGUGCAUGAUAGACUUGAUUCUUUGCUAAAUGAAUAGCACUUUGACUAUCACAAUACACAUUAAUAUGCUCCUGAACCAAUCCCAAGGUUUUAACCAUACCUUGUAACCAAAUAGCUUCCUUUACAGCCUCUGUUACAGCCAUGUAUUCAGCUUCUGUGGUUGACAACGCAACUGUAGACUGCAGUGUAGACUUCCAACUUAUUGGUCCUCCAGCAAGAGUAAACACAUAACCAGUGGUUGAUCUUCGUUUGUCCAAAUCACCGGCAUAAUCAGAAUCAACGUACCCAACAACACAUUUACCAAGUAUAGUAUCCUGCUUGAACAAUAAUCCAAUAUCCAUGGUCUUAUGAAUAUACCGUAGAAUCCAUUUCACAGCUUGCCAAUGUCCUUUUCCAGGAUUAUGCAUAUACCUGCUCACUAUACUAACUGCCUGUGAAAUGUCGGGUCUUGUACACACCAUUGCAUACAUCAAGCUACCUACUUCAUUAGAAUACGGAACUUGUAACAUGUAUUCUUUUUCCGUAUUUGUCGAAGGAGAUAGUUGUGCAGAAAGCUUGAAAUGAGAAGCCAACGAAGUACUUACAGCUUUAGUCUGCUCGUUCAUGCCAAACUUCUGUAGUAUCUUCUUUAAAUAUUGCUUCUGAGACAAACUAACUCUGCCAUGAGCUCUAUCCCUACAUAUUUCCAUGCCAAGGAUCUUCUUAGCUUCACCUAGAUCUUUCAUCUCAAACUCAAGGUUGAGUUGAGUCUUCAAUCUCUCAAUGUCAACUUUACUCUUAAAUGCUAUCAACAUAUCAUCAACAUAUAAGAGCAAGUAUACGAAAAAUCCUUCUUGUAGCUUCUGAAAAUACACGCAAUGAUCAAAUNNNNNNNNNNNNNNNNNNNNNNNNNNNNNNNNNNNNNNNNNNNNNNNNNNNNNNNNNNNNNNNNNNNNNNNNNNNNNNNNNNNNNNNNNNNNNNNNNNNNNNNNNNNNNNNNNNNNNNNNNNNNNNNNNNNNNNNNNNNNNNNNNNNNNNNNNNNNNNNNNNNNNNNNNNNNNNNNNNNNNNNNNNNNNNNNNNNNNNNNNNNNNNNNNNNNNNNNNNNNNNNNNNNNNNNNNNNNNNNNNNNNNNNNNNNNNNNNNNNNNNNNNNNNNNNNNNNNNNNNNNNNNNNNNNNNNNNNNNNNNNNNNNNNNNNNNNNNNNNNNNNNNNNNNNNNNNNNNNNNNNNNNNNNNNNNNNNNNNNNNNNNNNNNNNNNNNNNNNNNNNNNNNNNNNNNNNNNNNNNNNNNNNNNNNNNNNNNNNNNNNNNNNNNNNNNNNNNNNNNNNNNNNNNNNNNNNNNNNNNNNNNNNNNNNNNNNNNNNNNNNNNNNNNNNNNNNNNNNNNNNNNNNNNNNNNNNNNNNNNNNNNNNNNNNNNNNNNNNNNNNNNNNNNNNNNNNNNNNNNNNNNNNNNNNNNNNNNNNNNNNNNNNNNNNNNNNNNNNNNNNNNNNNNNNNNNNNNNNNNNNNNNNNGAAUCAUGUUGCUGUAAAAGUUCUUGGGUCGAAACUUCUUCAUCAUUUGUUCCUUCAAUAUUAGCUGGAUCAUCAUUAACCUUUUCAAGCUCCACCUGUUGCAAAGUGCCAUUGGUUGUGUAUCCUUUUGUGAAUCAUUGUUCUUCAUCAUGGUUGAUUCAUCAAAAGUCACAUCUCUACUGAAAAUUAUUUUCCUUGUAUCAGGACACCAGAGACGGUAUCCUUUUACUCCACCAGUUAUACCCAUGAAUAAUGCUUUCUUUGCUCUUGGGUCUAACUUAGAUUCUUUUACAUGAUAAUAUGCAGUGGAACCAAAAUCAUGUAAAGAAUCAUAAUCAGUAGCAGGUUUACCAGCCCACCUCUCCAUAGGAGUUUUUCCAUUUAUUGCAGCUGAUGGCAACCGAUUAAUUAGAUGGCACGCAUAUGUAACUGCCUCAGCCCAAAAUUAUUUGCCCAAUCCAGCAUUGGACAACAUACAUCGAACUUUCUUCAGUAUAGUCCGAUUCAUACGUUCUGCCACCCCAUUCUGUUGUGGUGUAUCUCGAACAGUGAAGUGUCGUACAAUACCUUCAUCGUGACAUACAGAUCAUUCUUGUACUCAAUACCAUUGUCUGAUCGAAGUCGUUUGACUUUUCGACCAGUCUGGGUCUCCACCAUCUUCUUCCAUUUCAGAAAUACAUCCAAAACUUUAUUUUUCCUUUUCAUUAGAUACACCCAUACUUUUCUUGAAUAAUCAUCAACAAAAGUAACAAAAUAGUGCAUACCUCCCAAAGAAGCCACUUUAGUAGGUCCCCACACNNNNNNNNNNNNNNNNNNNNNNNNNNNNNNNNNNNNNNNNNNNNNNNNNNNNNNNNNNNNNNNNNNNNNNNNNNNNNNNNNNNNNNNNNNNNNNNNNNNNNNNNNNNNNNNNNNNNNNNNNNNNNNNNNNNNNNNNNNNNNNNNNNNUUGCAAAGCUUUUUCACCAGCAUGUCCCAAUCGCAUAUGCCAUAACCUGGUAGCCUCUGAAUCUGCAUCUUUCGUAGAAGCUGUUGAUGUUGAUCCAAUAACUAUACUUCCAUUUAAAUAAUACAGAUUAUUCCUUCUUGUGCCUUUCAUCACCGUCAAUACCCCAGCUACUACCUUUAGUAAUCCAUCUCUCAAAGUGAUUGUGAGCCCUUUAGAUUCUAGGACCCCUAAUGAGAUAAGAUUUUUCUUCAAGCUAGGUAUGUAGCGAACAUCUGUCAAGACUUGAAUUGAGCCGUCGUGAUUCUUCAAUUGGAUUGUACCUACUCCCAUUGUCUUACAAGCGCUAUCAUUGCCCAUAAAAACAACUCCACCUUCUAGUUCUUUAAGACUAGAAAACCAGUCCUUAUUAGGACACAUAUGGUAUGUACAUCCCGAAUCCAAAAUCCACUCAUCUGUAUGACAUGCCAUUGCCAUGCCAACCAAGCUAAAGUCUGACUCCUCAUCAUGCUCUGCUACACAUGCAUCAGAAAUAGCUUUACCCUUUUGUAACUUAGGACAAUUCUUUUUCCAAUGCCCUUUCUCACGACAAAAAGCACAUUCAUCUUUGGCAGGUCUCCCUUUGGACUUACUCCUUCUACCAGAUUUGUUGCUGCGCGAACGACCUCUUACUGUUAAGACUUCUGUAGUUGUAUCUCUGUGAUCUUUUUUAUCUUUCUUUCGAGUCUCAGAUCUAUACAACGCACUACAGACUGCAUCAAAUGUGAUUGUAUCCUUCCCAUGAAGCAAUGUGGUGGUAAGAUGAUCAUAUUCAUCAGGAAGAGAAUUCAACAACAGUAAUGCCUUGUCUUCAUCUUCAAAUUUCUCAUCCAAAUUUAGCAAGUCUGCUAAAAUUUUAUUGAAUGAGUUCACAUGGUCAUUCAUCGGCAUACCGGGUGCAUACGUGAAUCGAUAAAGUUUUUUUUCAUAUAAAGCCUAUUUUCAAGACUUUUUGUUAGAAACUUUUCUUCCAGUGUAUCCCACAACUUCUUCGCUGAUGUCUCCCUCAUGACAGAGUACUUCUGCUAUUUGGCCAAACAUAGGCGAAUUUUUCCACAUGCCUGUCUAUUGAUCUUGGCCCACUCCUUGUCAUCCAUCUUCUCAGGUUUUUCUUCAAGGGCUAUAUCCAGCUCUUGCUGACAUAAGACAUCCAGGAUCUCACAUUGCCACAUAUCAAAAUUAUUGGUACCAUCAAAUUUCUCUACUUCAAAUUUCGCAUUGGUCACAGUAGUCUUUAUUGAUGACGAUGCCUUUUCCAUUUUUUCUCCUCAAUCCCAACUACAGUACGUGAACAGUACUGUGAACGAUCGUAUUCCCCAAGUACGAAUGUAGCUCUGAUACCAAUUGUUGUGCGGAAGCGUGUAAAAGAGUAAAAUUAUUGUACUAAAAAAUCACACUAAGUUCAAUUCCCAGGAAAAAGAGGUGGAUCACAAGGAUCGCUUAAGUACCAGGUCUUUCCUAGCCAGAAUAUCCCUCAAUCAUAAUUUAAUAGCACAAUAAAUCACUACAAUCACACACACAAUUCAUGCAGAAUAAUACAAUAAAGAACACAAGAAUUUAACGAGGUUCAGCAAAUUUUGCCUACGUCCUCAGGCACUACCAAAUAUAUUUCACUCCAAAAUACAAGUGAGAAUUUACAAAGAGAGAGAGAAAACAAUGCCUUAAGUAGAGAAUGGCAAGUUUGAGAUACAGAAUGAGAGAUGGUCAUGAUUAUUUAUAGUUGAGGUUCAGGGAUCAACUUGCAAAGUCACUUUACAAUUAGGGACCAUAUAUUGCAAAUAUCUCAGAUUUUAUUAUGCCAAUAUCUCGAUAUCCAUAUCUUUGACUUUCUAAUAUUUGAUACCCAUAUCUUUGACUUUCCAAUAUUUGAUACCCAUAUCUUUGACUUUCUAUUAUUUGAUACCCAUAUCUUUGAUUUUCCAUAAAUAUGGAUAAUUCCCAAUAGUUAGAUAUAGGGUUGUCAGCUAAUUAGGAAAGACUGUGAUGAUAGUCACACCUUACAUCCAAACGCAAAGCUUUUUACAUGUGUAUGUAAGGUUGCUAAGCAAAUCUGAUGAGCCUUCACUGAUGUUUUAAGGUUAAGUUAAUGUUCCUUUUCUGCAAAGAACAUUAUCGAGAUCACAGUAUUUUGAUCGCCUUUUGCUUGUUAUGUUAUUCGUUCUGAAACGAUUGUCUAAUCUUUACCGCGAUUGCAGGAUAUAGAGUAAUUUUUGAAUUUCAUCGGUGUAAAGAGUUUAGGACCUCGACAAGUUCUUGCAAAUUUGAAGGAGCUUCUAAGGUCUGUCCAGUCUUCAGAAUAUAUAGAUACCUGAAUUAAUUUUGAUUUUGUAGGAUCAACUAUAAUUUUGACCUUCUUCACACACGGCACGUGCGGAUUUUUUACCAAUCCCAUUUCAUUAAAGAAAAAAAAGAGCUUUAAAAAAGGAUCACACUUUUUUGUUGUUUACAGAAUCAUAAUGUUAAUUAGAGUGGAAUAUUUCAAAUUUCUGAUGAUGAGAAUAUUCUUGAGUAUUGCAGUAAAAAAUUGGGUGUGGAACUUAUUUGAAACUUUGAAUGUAUGUUUUGUUGGUGAGAAUAUAAAGUUGAUAAAGAUUUGGUAAAAAGAAUAAAAUACUAUUUUUUAUUACAAAAUUAUUUGAUACCCUGCCAAUCGAGUUAUAAUUAUCAUGACACAAUAUUAAAGGUAAUUAAAACAUGUCAUAUUACAAAUAAUAAAAUUAUAACGACUCAAAUAUACGAACAUGCCAAAAUUUAUGUACAACGAAUUAUUAACAUGUAAAUGUAUAAUACGGUACAAAAAAUAAGAUAAUUUCUUUUUUUUGUAAUUGAAUUGUUAUAACACAUUAUACAAAAUACAUUGUGAAUUAAAGCAUAAUAUGAACAUGAUAUCAAUAUAUCAAAUUUUUUAAAAAUUCGAUCAUACGAAUAAUUAUGUAAAAUAUAACAUGAUACAAAAUGACUUGAGAGGAAAAGAGGAAUGUAGACUUGCAUUGUUUGUGAGGUUUUAAAAUAUUCCAGUUUUAGAUUCAAUUUUCUAGUAUUUUUGGUUUAAUUUUACAUUAGAUUUUCUUUUCAGUAUGCACUAGUAAACGCUUGGUAGUCACUUUAAUUUAAUUUAAAGAGAUAUUGCAUAUACAUAAUAAAUUUCAUAGAAGAAAAAAGAAAUAGAUGGUUGAAAAUGAUAAAAUCGUAAGAUAAAAGAGCUUUUAUUCAAAAUGCAAAAAUGAACAAAAUAUUCAUUAUCGCUCAACUUAGCAUAAUUAAACAUUUAGGUGUGGAAAUCAAAUCACAAUUUGAGUAGCUAAACAUAUCGCUUGAAAAUGUGAUAAGUAAGAAACUUGCCCACAUUUGAGUAGCGACAGGUGGUGAUGCAUUUCCCAACGAGAGAAAACCAAGCUCUUCGCCAGUAUGGAUUUAUGUAGAGGACAACAAAAAUUGUCAACAAAGCAACUACAAAAGAAACCAAAA
rnacentral:lncRNA from 1 species